GAGUUCACUUUCUUUUUCUCCCCCGCGCUCUCCCCCUCUCCCUUCCCGCCGGCCCCCUCCAGCCUCCUCCUCGGCCGGCAAGGCCCGGCUGGAGUUUUCGGUCCUCGGCCAGGCAGCCGGAGGAUGGAGGCGGCGAGGGAGGAGGAAGAGGAAGAGGGAAAGGUGAGGAGGCGAGUCGGGCGCCUGGCCAGGGAGCAGCAUCCAGGACCUUAAUGGUGUGACGUGGGGGACGCGCCGGGCCAAGACUGCCCGAGCCCAGGCGCGUACACGUGUCCGUGUGUGUGCGAGAGAGUGUGAGGUAGAGAGCAGAGGAGAGGAGCCUACCAUGCGCUUCCCCCGUGCUGAUCGCGGGAGAGCCCAAUCACGGGGCGAGCUGGACUCGGCUGUGAUCAUUUAUAAUCCCGGACUCCUCCGCGCCGCCACUUGUCAAGAUGACAGGGUGGGCAUUUCAGGUCAGCUGAGUCACCCGAAGAGGUGGGAGUGCAAGACACUGCCGGGAAGAUGGAUUUCAAGGCAGAAGGGUGUAAUUAAGGAUUUCCACCCCCUGUAGGCGGCCGGUCCUUUACAGUGUCUCCGAAAAUGACCCGCGCCUUCCUUUCCAGAGUGUCCUCUCCUCCGAGGCUGAAGAGUGCAAAUGACCUUCGGAAGGGGGAGGGGGCUCUAAACACUCGGACUUCCUGGGUAACCCCAGCUGGGCUAUGUCGUACGCAAGUGUCCGCCCUCGGGUUCAAGCUCUGGGACUUUCAGCAAGUGCCCCCUGGCCAGGAGACAGAUUCUGGAGGCCUCCAAAGGCUGCACAGCUCUCAUUCUCUCUCUUUCUUUCUCUCUCUCUCUCGCUCUCCUCAAUGCGCCUUCUCCUUCAACACUACCCCUGCCCUGACGUUGUUUGCUGUGGGAGGAAAAUAAGUUUACUGCUGUGCACUAGGCACUCUCAUUUUCUAUUCACUCAAGUUCCCUGGGAAACGCUCACUCCAGGUGUUUCCCCCCCCUCCCCACCGCCUGCCCCGUAAAGAUACUGACCCAGGGGUAACUUUAAGUUCUGGUUGCUCUGGAGUUUGGGAACAUCCAACCUGCGAUUUUAGUCCAGCUGAUCGCUGGCUCUUCGGCCCCCCGCGAACCUGCAGUUACCUUUCUGUUCCCUGACAGGUGGCUUCCGGCUGGGGCAGACGCGCUCAGGGCGGACAAGCGCUUUGGCUCCUCUUGGGGCGCCCGAGCGUAUACCUCCACCCCACCCCCACCCAGGUAGCUAACCAGUUGUGUCCCUUGCCAUCUGGACCUGUCCUUGGAGGCGGGGCAGAGGGACUGGUGCGCUCCAGCCUUCUCCUUUCACCUCCUCUCAAAUUCAGAGCAGACAGUUCUACCAGUUUGCAUCUAACCUGACUGUGGCUAGAGGAAAUAACAUUUGCCUUUGUAAGCACGUGCAGAACCAGAAACUAAGACCUCGGAAAACAAGAAGAAUGCCUCCUAGGAAAGCCUAAGCCUUUAGAAUUGAGUUUCUCCAAGGUUUGGCGAUCAAAGUGACAAGGUGAAUACAUAAACUUCAAUUGGUGUAUCCAGUCGCAUGGUGAGUUCCCAAAGUUGCUAAGUGACGGAACACACUACCAGGCGUUGGGAAGUAGCAGUGAUACUUGAGCAACCCCACCCUGCUCUCGCGCCUUCUCCGGGGAGGGGCGGGGGCAGGGGGACCAGUGACGCUAGGGCACCAUAGGCACAUCUUUAAGGGAAGAAUCCAGAGCUGCCCUGGGGUGGAUCAGUCUCCUUCCUGCCACGUGUAUUUCACACUUAGGGAGAAACAACCACCACAACAAAAACAAGGCGGAGGGGGCAGAUUAAUUACUGUCCCCCUCUCUCUAGCCAUUCUCAUUUUCUUUAGAAAAACUGUCAAUUAUGAAGGUAUGCCCCAGAUGUUACAUGACAACCACAAAUACAUGCUACUUAAAAUUUGCAUCCGUGACAAGAUCAGAAGGAAACUUGAAAGGUGUUUCAUAAAUUACGUUUGUGGCCCAGUUCACACAAAAACAUUUUAAGUGUUCAAAACUUUUCUAAAGUGUCAAACUAACACACACACCCCUGAUUUUUCCUGUACCUUGCCAUCUAGGAAUACAUGCACACACAAGAGAAAAGAUACCCUGCUCCAUCCCAAACAGGCCAGAACAGAAAAGCUAAAUUACUACUGGUAGAACAGGUGGGAGCUGGGUGAGGGGCUGGCUGUUUCUUCUUUUCAGCUCUCUCUCUCUCUCUCUCUCUUUUUCCCCUAGAACUCUCAUUAUAGCUAACGCUGGUAAUAAGUGUAGGAAACAAUAGAACUCAUAAAAUUUAGAAAUGGUAAUAAAUCUCAGAGCCUGUCUCUAGCCCAGCUCCCUGUUACAGGAUAUUCAAAGUUUUUCAUAGGUGAUGCUCAGCAUUCACACUAAUUGGAUGCAGUACAGACAGACUACUCUAGAACUCAUUAACACAGCCCUGUGCACCCUCUGCCAGGCGUCGCUGGUGGACAAGGCACGCAGGUGUCCUGCUCAACGCCUCAAGCGUGUGUGUAAGGUGCAGCCCGCAAUCCAAGCAGCUUAUGCGUGCUAAGUUUCAGGCUUCGCGGUUUAUUAUUUUUCCCUCCCUAACAAAGUUCCGUCAUUCGAGGCCAUUAGGAAAAGCCGGUGUUGUGCAGUGCCAAACUAUACCAGGCACUUUCUCCUCCAAAUGAAUCCCUGGAAAGCAAAGAGGCAGCUUGCUAUGUGGCCAUCAGGAUUUUUGCCUCUAUGAGCUGUGGUCGCGGGAGGGCGGGGACCGUGGGCUGCUCACACCGUGCCCUGGGCUGCAAUAAAAAACGAGCGGGGGAGAGAAGAAAUGCAAGUCCUCGCGGUCUGUUUUGCAAACGUCUGCCCGCUCACUGCAAACUCUGCCGUGUGCUGCUGAUGACUUUGCCGUGCUCAUGCAUCUGGUCGUGUAUGGGAUAAUGGGACGGAGCUGGAGACAUCGCCCUCCCGUGGGGCCCCCUUGUCACACUGAUACGCAGCCCUCCCGGAGGGGGGCGGGGAAUGCUUUUGAGCUCUCCAGGCAGCCCCCACCUCCUCCCCUGGAAAUGCAGGCUAGCGGCCUUUGUAAGCCUCUAAAAAGGGUGCUGGGGAGGAAGACAACGGCCCAAACCUCCAGAUGCACCUUGGGGUUAGGGAAGAUCUGACUGUGUCUUGGGGACUGGGAUGGGGUUCAGAGGGACAG
rnacentral:lncRNA from 1 species